CGGCGGCGGCGGCGGUACGAGGCGCGCGCUCGGGGUCCCGGUCGCGAGGAGGAGGAGGAUGUGGCGCGCGGAGGGGAAAUGGCUGCCGAAAACAAGCCGGAAGAGCGUUUCCCAAAGUGUAUUCUGCGGAACUAGCACCUACUGUGUUCUCAACAGCGUGCCACCUAUAGAAGAUGAUCAUGGGAACAGCAAUAGUAGUCAUGUAAAAAUCUUUUUACCGAAAAAGCUGCUUGAAUGUCUGCCGAAAUGUUCAAGUUUACCAAAAGAGAGGCACCGCUGGAACACUAAUGAGAGAUCAUGAUGCAGCCGUCCUUUUGGAUUUCUUUUUAAUAAUGUGUGACCCUUCACCUUUGAUCCCCUGACCUGCAUUACCUUGGCUCUCACCACACACUUGUUCAUGGGCGCGGCAAGAAGAGGGAUCCACAGAGCUGGAGUCGUGAGGGCUGACACAUUGGAAUGAAAGCUGACAGAAUUCAUAGGGAAAUCUUUACCAUCUUGCCAACCCCAUGUCUGGCUUCAAGACAAUUCUAUUAGUGAAUUAAUUGUACUCAAAACCCCAAGCUAAUUUGAACCAAAUGCUGUGGAAAAUGGAAUAGAUUACAGUGACCCACUCUUGCUUCAUCCAGAGUUCUCCUGAAGGAGGUCUGCAGUCUGACCGAGCUCUGGGAAAGCGGGCCUCUAUCCAGUUGCACCUGGCCACAGGGGCCUCAUGACCACCCUCAUGCCCAGACACCUCUCUGUCCCUUAGCAAGCUGGUCUUUUCUCCCUAGCACCUACCCCCUGAGCUACUCUACCCUUAAAUGCUCGGUACCGUCUGUCCCCUACAAGAAUGGAAGCUCCUCGAGAGCAGGGCCUCUGUGUGGUUCACCUUUGUAUCUCCUCCAGUGCGUAGGCCAGUGCGUGGCCAGUGCAGAUUCUAAAUAAAGCUAUGGAAUGAACGGGUCGCUAGCAUUGCAUCCUUUCUGAAUGGUCCCCUUUUAACUUGCCUUUUGUAUGUGACUUUUUAAAGUGAUAAAGCAGUGAAAGUUUGAGUGAUAAAGUAGUGAAAGUUUGGGAGCAAAUACAGAAAGUUUGUUGUGAGUGAAAUGAGUAGCAGCUUAGUUCAGGAUUAGAAUGCAGCAGGGGUAUGAGAUGAGUGUAUCAGGACUUGGGAAUUACGAAUUCUAAACUUCCCGUGUGUUAACAUAUCUCUGCUUCUUGAGGAAGUGAGAAAAAUGGAGAAAGGAGUCAUAUCUCUGGAAGAGAGUCUAGCAGAAACACUGAGAAAUAAAAAUAGGAAGGUAGAAAAUAGGUAAAUAUUUUAAAAUUUCUGUAAUAUUUAACAAUUUAAAAUAAUUUUAGCAAGUAAGAUAAAUCAAAAUAUUUCCUAGAUCAAGUGGGCGUUAACAAAGAUAUAGAGGGAACUUGGAGGCAACAGAAGCAGUUUUGUUCCUAUUACCUUUAUAGAUAACAUAGUUACUCCACCUUUAUUCUUUGUGUAUUGGCCUUGGCUGGAAUACCAAUAUUGUUCUUGCAAAGCUUUGAGUUAUUUAUUUAUUUAUUUUAAACAAAGAGCAAAAACAAAACCAAGGAGACGGUAUCCUGUGAUGCAGGCUGUUAUCUCAAGGUGAGUUUAUUUGUAGCACUAAAUUGUGACGAAUUGUUUGAAGGACUGAAACUUCUUUUCAGGUGUAACAUAUUUUACUUGUCAAGUUUUGUUCAUUUCAUUGUAAACUUAAGUUGUUUGUCACACACUGAAAAAAUCAGCUAAAACCGGGAAGUACAAAGGCCUGACUGAACUUGAAUUUUCUUUCACACAGAGAAGUAACGAGCAUUUCUGGUCAAAUCAGUGAAUAUGUCUCAGUUUCUUUUUUAAAAUAAAAUGUGAAAAGCAAAGGCCAGAUUUUUAUGUACAAAGCAAAACAAAAACAAAAAGCCUUUCAGAGCAUAAUGCAUUUUUCAUUAAAUUUGUUGUUGAAACUAUUCCGAUUAUAUAAUCUCAUCCUCCCAUGACAGCAUAAGAAGUGUGGAUUCUGGGGCGAAAAAGUAAUUGCAGAAGGUGCUUAAUGAGGCAGAACUCACAAAUCUGCAUUUAUAGUUUUGUGGACAAAUAAAUCAUCAGUGGAGGAAACAAAUGUAAAGAAAAAUUCAAGAAAUACAAGGUUGGACUUUUUACUAAAAUAGAGUUUUAAGACCCCUCAGAGGGAUGUUGUGAGUAUAAAUAAGUGUAAUGUGCUUAGAAUUGCAACCUAGGGCGUAGUGAGCACUCUGUAAAUGUUUGCUGUUUAUUAAUACAGGAAUUUUAGUAGGAAAGAUUAAAUCAUAUUUUAGUCUUGCAUAAUAAGCUGCACUGUAAUUUUAUUAUGGUGAAUGUCCACUUCUAAUGCAUUGAAGAGUGGCUUUUUAAAGCAAAGAAGAAAUGGAAAUGCUUUUCUCGGUGCUCUUACGUGUGUGUGGUGUACAUGUAAGAGAUUCAGGGACAGCUUAUCCAAAUGACAGCACGAGUGACCAGAGGUGCAGGAGCAAAUGUGUAACUCUUAGCUCGAUUUUGAAAUAUGUUCUUUUCAUAAGUCUAGAGAGUUGAUUAAUUUGUCUGUACUAUACCCUUUCGCUACAUGUAUGCACUUUUAAGUCUUAUGGAAUGAAAUAGAAACUUAUGACCAACACAUAGUUAAAGUUAUUGUCAAAAUUACAUAUUCAGAAUUCAUUGAUGGGAAAGCUAGUUUUCAUUCAACGUUCCUGCAGUUUAAAUGUGUGACAUACGAGUUUAAAGAGUGAGUCUAUGAGUUAGUGCCCUCUGGUGGCACAUGGAGGACAGCAGGCCGAGAGGGACCCAGCCCAUGAGCUUGCCAUCUUUCUUCUGAAGAGUUGCCACUUCAUAAUGGUUCUGACAGCUUUUCUUUUGGGUAGGUUUCAAGAAGGUCCAUGGUGUGGGUUUAUGUUUUUGUGUGCUUGGUGCUUGUCGCUUUUCUAAUCCAUGACACCCUGGCCUGGAAUUCACCCAGAACGGCCUCCCUAUGGGUCUUCUCUAGCAGCUUAGGUUGUGGGUAAAAUUCUGGGUGAGAGGGUUUUUAGUCAAUUGUUGUAAGAAGGUCUACCAACGUUAAGAUUUUCAACAAGGAACCAAGACAUCUAUUUUUAGAUGCAUCUUUUAACUAGCCUUUUCAAGGAGGAACCCUGUCACUUCCUUGGUUAAGGACUGAUGCCUCCCUGAUGGCCUUUGGGUGACUCAGUGGCACAACUGGAGGCAAACCCUAUAGUUUGGGGUCAAACAGACCUGGAGCUGAAUCCUACUUCACCUCUUAAAAGCUGUGGGACCCUGGAAAAGUUGCUCCGUCUUUUAUGAGUUUCUUUAGCUGUGGAAUAUGGAUGCUGAUGAGGAUCCUAACCGGUGUCCAAAGGGUGAAAUGAGAUGAUAUGUGGAAAAGCCCUGACACUUUGAUGAACACAGGUUGCUACCAAAUAUAUGCUGGUUUCCUUCUCUUCCUUAAAGGCAAGCCCUCCCCUCCUUUAAUUUAAGAGUCAUCUUUUUUUAAUAUACAUUUUAAUUUUUGCAUAGUAUUAGACUUACAGCUUAGUUAUAAAGAUAGUACAGAGUUCCCAUAUACCCCUCAUCUAGUUUCUUUUACAAGCCCUACUUCUAUGAUGAUGUGUUUUCCUGAUCACUUUUCAUAUAUAAUCCCUAUGAAUUUUGAUCAGAUUUGGUUUAAAGUGCCUGUUUAACACUUUGCUGAGGCUGAAACUUUUCACCUUGAAUACCUGAAUUCUGUUGCAGAUGGGGCAUUUGCUUCCAAGUCAUCCUUCUGUUUUUACAUUUAUGUCUGUGACCGUUUGACAUUAGAACAGCCUUCUGUCAUUUCCCAGGUCUUAACAAUAAAUAGUUGCCCUCAUGCGAUUAAUGAGCUGGGGAACCUAAGGAAAGAGGUUAGUCAGAGCCCAAGGCCUUUAGAUCCAUCCUACGAAUGUGCCCAGAACACUUCGAUGGCCAGGAACCUGGCCCAGCCAGUGUCUCCCCACAGCACUGUACACUAACGUUGCUUUGAAAAUGCCUUUUUUUUUUUUUAAUUGGCUAAACUCUACCUUAAUGGUCUUAUUUAUGCUAUUAAUAUGCAUAUAUAUAUAAUAUGCAAAACAACUCUUUUGUAUCUAGUAGACUAUUUCAUUUCAGUUCAGAUCCUUACUGAUAUUAUGAAGCCAGUGUUAUUAAGCCCAAAUGAAUAGAAUCUCCUCAUACUGUACCUUCAGAGGGUGUUGUGGGCUGGGGAGACUGUUGGUUCCUCAGAUGUUUCUGCUCUUACACCGACACUGUCAGUGUCAUCAGCAAGCUCUGAGGUAACUGUAGCCUCUUGUGUGAGGCUUCAACUUGGCUUGUGAUCUGGGAGUUUACGUAUCUGUAUUAGAGAUAAACCUUGACCGUAAGAGAUGGAUGACCUAUUUUUUACAAGAGCUGCUGAGAUAUAUGGAUGAGAACAUGUUCAUGUAGUUUGAAAAAGUGAUAAAAUGGGCCAGGUUCUUGAAAGGCUAGCAGAAAUCUUAUGUAAACAUUUAGGUCUGGUCAAGAAAACAGAAAAUCAGUCUCAAAUGAAUUUUUUUUUUGCAAAUGUGGUCGGGGUCGAUACUUUUAUGUAAAUUCUAAUACCUGUUUCUGUGGUGUUAGAAACUUAAUUUUUGUUUUGUCAUGUGACGGCUUGCUUUGUUGUUGUUUAUUUUUUUGUUUGUUUUUGUAUUUUGGCCAGGCCUUCAUUUCUAACAGUAUCACAUUUAAUCUUUCUGAAAACAUGAGUUUAGAGGAACCCAUAUGCUGGCAGCUGUGUUAUUGUUAGGUGCCGUUGAGUUAAUUCCAACUCAUAGCGACCCCGUGUGACAGAACAGAACUGCCCCAUAUGGUUUUCUAAGCUGUAAUCCUUAUGACAGCAGAUCGCCAGGUCUUCCUCUCAAACUGCUGGAUGGGUUCAUACUUUCAGCCUUUCAGUUAGCAGCCGGUCGCAACUAAUUCCCAGACUGUUACAUCUCAUUGACCACGUUCGUGAUUUGAUGUUUUUUCUUUUUAAUCGGUAAUGUAGAGGUGAAUCUGAGAGGCCAAAAUGUAUGAAUUAAAGUAUGUUUUAAUUUUUUUGAAGUUCUAAUAGUCGUAAUAAAGAAUAAAAAAAAAUUUUUUUUUUUUUUUUUUUUUAAAGACUGAGAGAAGUUUCAGGUUUCUGCCUGUUGAAAUGUUACACCCCUGUAAUAAGAAGACACACCUCUCCAGCCUGGUAUCUAAGAGUUCUGGAGGAGCAUCCAGAGUCGAUCCUUGCUGGUUUCCUAAUGGUCUCUGCAGUAUGGGCAGGCGUGCGACUCCCUUAGAGCAGUUUCAAAUGUCACAUAGCUGGAUAAAAGACCCUACCUCUGAAAGGAUACUCUGCAUAAAAUCUUUGUUGUUUGAAAAGUGGUUCUGGUUGCCCUAUUCAAGUUUAAUGCCUUUUAGGAAGUUAUAAAACAAAUGGAACAAAGCAUUUCCUUCUGUUCUUCAUAGGUUGCUAUGAGUCGGAACCGACUUGAGGGCGCCUAACAACAUGGCAACAUAAAACAAACGAGACUGGCUAGAUGGAACAAGAGGAUGGAUAACCAUUAAUCUAAGAUGGCCCCUGUUGAGAUGUUUCCAGAAUCCAACAUGAGGAUUUUAGCCUUACGUGCACAUGGAGGAGUUGUGUAUCAUAGUAGGGUUAUAUUCAAUUGGGGGGGGAAAGGACACCUACAUAACUGAUCCCAGACAGAGUAGGUGCGAUUCUUGGUUCCCGUUGGAUAGUGAACUUUGCUAUGGAUACUUGAGAGAUGGUAUUAAUGCUUCUCUUUUAGCUUUGGAAUCCUGUAAUACAUUUUGCCAGUCUGAGAAAGAAGCAUUUUGUGUUCAUUAGGAGCCUACUGACACUCACUGGAAAAGAAAUUUAAGAUUUUGGUUGUAUAAUUUAUAUAAUGACCUAAAGCAUCAAGCCCUCUCCCCACGAUGCACAGAAGGUCCAGUUGUUGUUGUUAGGUUCCGAUGAGUCUAUUCCAACUCAUAGAGACCCUAUGUACAGUUGUUAUGCUUGAGCCCCUUGUUGCAGCCACUGUGUCAGUCCGUGUUGUUGAGGGUCUUCCUGUUUUUCCCUGGCUCUCUGCCGAGCCUGAUGUCCUUCUCCAGGGACUGAUCACUCCUGAUAACAUGUUCAAAGUAUGUGAGAUGUAGUCUUGCCAUCCUUCUAAGGAGCAUUCUGGUUGUACUUUUUCCAAGACAGAUUUGUUUGUUCUUUUGGCAGUCCAUAGCACAUUCAGUAUUCUUCACCAACACAAUUCAAAGGCGUCAGUUCUUCCGAUCUUCCUUAUUCAUCGUUCAGCUUUCGCAUGCAUAUGAGGCAAUUGAAAACAGCAUGGCUUGAGUCAGGCGCACCUUAGUGUUCAAGGUGACAUCUUUGCUUUUCAACACUUCAAAGAGGUCUUUUGCUGCAAACUUGCCCAAUGGAAUAUGUCUUUUGAUUUCUUGACAGCUGCUUCCAUGGGUGUUGAUUAUGGAUCCAAGUAAAAUUAAAUCCUUGACAAUUGCAGUUUUUUCUCUGUUUAUUGUGAUGUUGCUUAUUGGUCCAGUUGUGAGGAUUUUUGUUUUCUUUAUGUUGAGGUGUAAUCCAUACUGAAGGCUGUGGUCUUUGAUCUUCAUCAGUAAGUACUUCAGGUCCCCUUCACUUUCAGCAAGCAAGGUUUUGUCAUCUGCGUAACGCAGGCUGUUAACGAGUCUUCCUCCCAUCCUGAUGCCCAUUCUUCAUAUAGCCUGGCUUCUCGGAUUAUUUGCUCACCCAUACAGAUUGAAUAAGUAUGGUGAAAGGAUACUACCCUGACACACACCUUUCCUGACAGUCCAAUUAGCCAAAUAUUUAUCCAGGGUACAAAUUUUUUUCAGUCAUGGUUAGAUGCUUCAUUCUGUUUUUUUCUUUUCGUUUUCUUUACAUACCAGAUAGAUGUACAUUGAAAAAUAAAACAAACUCCAGUGUUUAAAGGUUGAACAUUACAGUCUGUACUUAGAGUUGCCUUUUGGCAAGCGCAGUUAGUAAAUGGGAACUGGGGCGAUUGUUUAUUGUGAAUGAGCCUGUCUUUUUAAUGCUUACCAGUUCACCCUGGACUGAAUGAAAUGGAGUAGGUUUUACAUUUUAAGUUGUAUUUUGAGAACCAACCAUUCAUGAUGAAAGCAGAGUUUCUGCAAAGUUUGUUUUAAAGAUAAUGCUACCCAUUAUUUCUGUGAACCCAAUAAAAAUAGCAUGGAAUAAAAUUUAAUUAUGCUAUACUGAAUAUUUCAUGUGGAAUUAAGGGGCAAGAGUUGCCUUUAAAAGGCAUUUGGCUUGGAAAGAGUAAAGGCUUUGCAGGUUCUUUGGAAGAUACUAUAAUUAAAAGAUUUGUUCAAAUGUAUUUUUCCCUUUUUGAAGAGUUUAAAGAAAUCCAUCCCCCCUUCCUAAAUUGAUUACCUCUCAAACCUCAGCCCUGCUUGGCAGUAUAUGCCUGGGAAGCUGCUACUGUGCUGAUGUGGCUACUUCUUUCUGCUCAACGUAAAAUAGGUGUUUAAUCUUCUGAUUUGGAUGUUUUAAUAGAAAGUAAAUGUUCGACUUGCUUUGGUUUCUGCUGAACCUGUAUUUAAAUCCACAGAGUUUGAAUAAAGUGCAAACAUCACUGGACUAACCAUUUUAAACAUUUCAGGAUGUAAGAAUUCUAAAUGGGGUUCCCUUUUAAAGAUAGAAAUGGCUGCUUGCAUUUACAUGAUUACUGCUAACUAGCAUAACAUUUUAAAUGGUGACAAACUCAGGGUAGAAAAAGUAUCUGUUUUAAAAGGGCUGGUAAAAGGAAGCUGAAAAUGCUCUGUGAGCAGCUGCGCCCAUGGAGGGCCCUCUGCAAAGCCAGGAAGCCCAAGAACUUUCGGUAGGGAGGGUGGUGUCAUGGGAGGAGGGGAGUAGCUCAGGAAGGAUUCUCGUAGACUCCGGCAAUGUGUCCCUUAGGCUGAAACUUACCACCUUUCAUUUUGAAGCGUGAGUAUAAGUAUUGGUACUUAAAUCUGCUCUGCAUUUUUGGAACAGGUGCAGUGUUCUCCAUCCCUGUUAAAAGGUGUCUAGUGAAGGUUGACAUUCAAGGUUGAUGAAAAGAAUACAGGAGAAUAUUUGUGAAAAUGAAGAUGAGAGAUCUUAGACAAACUCAAUAGUAGUUCAAGCCAGAAGCUCAGGAGUAUCCUUGAUUAUGCCCUUUUUUUCUAUCCCAAACAUCUAAUCCAUCUAAGUUUUUUGAUUCUCCUUCUAAGACAUAGAUAUAUCCAGAUUUCCACAUCUCCACUGGUAUCCCCUAGUCCAAGCCACCGUUGUUUUCUUUGCUUGGACAUCUGUGACAUUAUCCUAUUUAGAUCUCCUGCCUCUAAUCUUGCUCCCUUGCAGUAUAUUCUUUAUACAGGAGCCAGGGCAAGCUGUUAAGAAUGUAGACAGGAUUGUGACACUAGCUUGCUUAAAUCCUACACUGAAUUUUUAUCCACUUGAGAACAAUUGACCUGUGGAAUCCUGUCGCCAAGACAUCUCUCAUUUCCCACCACUUGCCCCAUCCUUCAGGCACAUUGGGCCUUUCCGUACCUAGAAUAUACCAAGCGUGAUUUUUUAUGCUUUAGCUGAUUCCUCUGCCUGGAGUGUACUCCCUCAAACCCCCACCCCCUCCAUGUUUGUAUAUUGGCUCCUUCAUGCCUCACCUCAAAUGUUGUGUCCUCAGAGAGCCCCUCCCUUCGCUACCCAAGCGGACAUAAUCCCCCAUCACUCUUAUCACAUGUUAGUUUUCUUUUUUUUUUUCCAUAGCAUUUGUUACUGCCUUUUUAGAUAUUCUCUCUCCCUUUUUUUUUUUGGCCUUGUCCCCUCCUCGCUACACUAGAAUGUACGCUCUUUUAGGACUGGGGCCUUAUCUGUCUUGUUCUCGGCUGCGUCCCCAGCAUCUAGAAGUGCCCAUAAGCACACAGAUACUGAUUAAAUGAAUGCAGAACAGAACUCUGAAGAUGGCUAACACCCAAGGAGGGCUCUGUGGUGGUGUGAAUAACCAGGCAUCCAGGAAAGGUUGUCCUGAAGUCUUUGUUAACGUCUCCGCAGGUGUUUUUUGGAAUUGUUUGGGAAACACUGGUCUAGACCUUGCCUUUUUGGAUGGAAAGCUGAAAUCUAAGGAUUCUUAGGAUGGCUGUACUUCAACAGAAUCAGCUUCUGUCCCAAGAAGGACAUGGGAAGUGGUUCUCAGGGCCCCCUGAAUGAUCUGAGAUGAAAUAGCAAGUAUUCACAGUGUUCUUGGUCAUAGAAGUAAGAUUAGCUAGUGGUAGUUUGCUUCCUGGCUGGUGGUAGUGGCACAGCACUGCCUCCCUUUGCUAAAAACUGGAUUUGAACUCCCUUGCAUCCAGCUUGAUAGCCAGGCCUCAUUUUCUGUGACUUGUCUUGUGGCAUCUUUCUUAUGAGCAUGGGUGGGGACAAUUGCUAUGUUCAAUAUUCAUUCCGGGGUUGGGGAGGUAUAUCUGCUGAGAUAUUUGCAGAUAACUUUGGUGAGCAGUGUUCCGCUUCCCUGAUUUUCCUUCUGAUAACAUUUCAGUUUUCUUAAGAGGAAGCUGUGGUAAGGCUACUGAUACCUAGGAAGUUGUUGAGGGUGCUAGGAGGUAGUUAAUUAAACCGUUUUCAUUCAACUUCCUUAGGGAAGAAAAGAAUCACAUUUCCAACUCACUGGGUCUCAGAUAUAUUAUGCUAUUUGAAGCAUUUACUUCAGUCUCAAAUAUGCUAGUUGGGGACUGGGCUGUAGAACUCAGGAGACCUGUCUGUUAAGCAAAAACUCCCCAUUCAACUUUACAUUCUUGUUGCUGUCUUUAUCAAGGCAUUAUUAGAGUGGUUGGCUUGUACAAAUAAAAGCAGUAAAUUCUCAGUUAAUUUAUAGUGAAAUAGACCUUCGUAGAGUGGAUACCUAGGAAUAAAGCCCUUGAACUGGAAUAUUUGAGUUCAUUUGACUAAACAUCAACUCAUUAGAUUUAAGAAAUUCCCUCCCUUCUCAUGUUUGGAUCCUAAUGUCACCCAAGGUAAGGUGCCUUGAUUUUACUUGGUUCCCACUUGCCCAACUAGAGAACAAGUUCAAGUUGGAGGAGGCAGACAUCCUGCAUCUUGACAGUCACAAAAGGGUCUGGCCUUUCAGGGACCAGAUGUGUGAAAUACAGCUGGGUGGAUGUGGCUGGAAAAUAGGUUUCGACCAGCCUGUGAAGAGCCUCAUGUGCAAGAAGUAGGCAACCACACAGAUUGUUUUCUCCCUGGCAAUGAGAUGGUGGCUGGUUGUGUGUUUAGGGUCAGCUGGCAUCAGGGAGAAGAAUUGGGAGUACCUGUCAGUCGCUGGUUUCCUAGUUGUUGGAAACUCCAUAAGCCUGUCUUUCUUGGAAGCCAUUUUUCUUUUAUGACAAACAUUAUGAGAUACCCCCCCAAAUUGUGUUAUUUCUGAUUUAGCUCUUUGUUUGAUUGCUUUUGAAGUUAACGAGGUUUAAACCACUGAAUGUUCUGAAUAUUCUCAUACACACCUGGGUACUAACCAAAAAAAAACAAAGCCAAAUUUGUUACUGUCCAGUUGAUUCUGGCUCAUAGUGACCCUAUAGGACAGAGGAGAACUGCCCCACAGGGGCUGGUGGAUUAGAACUGCCAACCUUUUGAUUAGAAGCCAAGCUCCUAACCACUGUGCCACCAGAGCUGCACCUGGGUACUAUUCUGGUAAGCAUUUGAACAGCAUUGACUUGGCCACAUGGAUUAUUGGAAAUUGGCAUGUGCAGUGCACUUGACAUUGUAUUUGACACGCUUUCAGUAUAUGGUUGUUGCUAGUUGCUGUUGAGUUGACUCUGACUCAUGAUGACCUCAUGUGUACAGAGUAGAACCGCUCCACAGGGUUUUCAGGGCUGUGACCUUUUGGAAGCAGAUUGUCAGGCUUGUCGUCUGAGGCGCGUCAGGGAGAGUUUGAACCAUGGACCCUUCAGCUAGUGGUUGAGUGCUUAACCGUUUGUGCCACUGAGGGACUCUUCAAUAUAUGGUACUUAUUAUUUAAUUAUUGGAAAGAUGGCUUUUCAUAUGGGGUUCUUGAUCUAACUUGAAGAAAGUGAGGUUGCCCCUCAUGGAUAGCCAGCUGGGUUGUGUUUAACCAGCCUUGAAUGUGAGCAAAGGAAAAGCACACGUUGCCUGUUAAUUUCUCUUUUCCAGCCUUUAAAGAACCAAUGUGAUUUCCUGCCCACAGACAGCUUGGUUUUCUUUUUCUAGUCCUUUCAUGACUGAAAUAUUUGCAGAAAUUUCUGGCUAGCCACCAGUCCAGAGCUUUCCGUCUUUGCAGAUGUUGUGCCUAAUAGUAUCUGAAAAUCCCAUGAGUUGAAAGUUUUUUCUUUUGGAAAGUUGGACUUCUGAUGGUUCAGUUACUAUAGUUUUAUAUUCCUUGUCUUUGGCACUGUGGUUGGCUUGUAAAUCUAUCUUAUAGUUGGUUUAGAAACUUAAAUGUAAGUUAAAUUUCAGUGUCCUUGAUUGAAAGAAAACUAAAAAUUAUGUAUACUUUACAAGAUUGCCCAUCUAUUACCCAUUCCUCAGGUUGUAGUGUUGGAAGGAGAUUAUUCAGACUGUUUUCCAGGCAGAUAAGCUGAAGCUCACAGAGGAUAAGAGAAUGGGCUCAUAGUAACUGGGAACAGUGUUCAGGUGGCAUUGACUUUGAGUGGCCCCUCAAGGUAGUACAAAUGGUUUCCAGGAAGAGUUCCGGAAAUACACCAGAAAAGGAUGUUCAUGAGUCUCAUCUCAAAUGGAAUUUCCUUUGCUCCAGCUGGCCAAGCUAGACUGAUUCCUAGAAGGGCCUCUGGCCUCUCAUCAUGUACCAGGCCUCCAAACAGGUAUUCAGUUGACACAGAGCCCCAGGUUUGUUUUAUUUUUUAAAUGGAGAAAUGGAUGAUCUAGACCCAGCUCCAAGGUGCUACUGUCUUGCAUUACCUUCAGGUGCCUGAGCCCUUACAAUCUGCUCUCAUGUGGAUCUGUAGGGAAAAGGCGGGCAGUUCUGCAGAGUCUGUGAAGUCAUCUGUACCUUGGCUGCUUCUUCAGGGUGGGAGGGUUUGCUGCCCUUGACAACUCUGCUCGCCAGCCUGGAAGUGUGCCCAGCCUGCUUCUACGUGUUUGACGCACUAUCGACAAUAAAUAAUCAUCGUUGCAGUGUGAUGGCUGAGAGGCAGACUCCAGCCAGUGUGUGCUGGGUUGUAGUGUUUUCCUGAUGGAUGGCCCCUAUUCUGGGAAGCAGCUUAUUGUCUCACGUGAACAGGCUUUCUAAAAUAAAUGACUGCUUUCUUAAUAUUUUGAAUCAUUUUCUUCAGCACAUGUUUUGUUGCUGUGGUUUGAAAGCUUGCCAAAUAUAUGCCUUUGCACAACUCCCUGUAGGGCUGGAUAUAAAAUCAGACCAAACAAUGUGAUUUAAGGUUGAACAUAAUCACUUGCCUUGCAUUUGAUAGAAUAGCAGUGGAGUGCUUGAGAGUCAUUUCUCUUUUAAAAAAUUAUGUAUAUAAUAUGCACACACAAACAUACACGCAUAUAUAGCUUCACUGCCUCAUAAUAAAAAAGUCAUGUCUGAAACCACUGGGCAAAAACACUAGCAUGAUAAAGAAUUACUUGUGUGGCAGAGGCAAUAAUUAACUUAAAAAAAUCAUAGCAGUUGAUACUAUAAAUGUAACUGAGGACCUUAGUCGAAUUAUAUAAGGUUGCAGGAUGGGAAAAAAAAUCAAAUGGUACAGAAAUACAUUUUAAACCGAAGCCCUUGUGAAUACUUUCAUUAGUUCACCUGUUUCUUUGUUCUGUGUACUUGAAUAAUUGAGCCAUAAACUUGGUGAACUUGGUGUUGCCUACCAGUUAAACAAGGGUCUUUGGUGUUUAUAUUUCAAACAUUGUUGUAUGUUUGUUGUUCCUGGAUUGUCAGCUACCUGUAAUUGAGACCUUUUCAUGUGCCUGUUGUAUUGGUGGAAAAAGUGUAGUUAACAGCCCCACUCCCUGGAGCUCUUUAAAAGAUGAAAUUGAGAGCUCUUUGAGAAGUCACAUGUGAAAUGCAAAGUUUGUUUACCAGGCCAAGAGAGAGAUCAUGUUGCAGAAGCUUAUGGUAAAUAUUCGGAUAAUAGAGGGUAGAGGUGCGCUAAGACAUCAGCUUCUUCAUUCGCUGGUAUGUUGGAGUUCUUCAGGCUUGCUGCCAGCAUUACAUCCUGCACAGGAGAAAGAGGUGCUGUGUAGAAGGAAUAACUUUGAAACUGUGAACCGUGUCUAAGUUGUCACAGGAACCAGAGUUCUUCGAUGAUGGCAUCCCAUUGCAGUGCACAUAGCCUCCCGAUGUCCCUUGUUAGAGGGUGUAUUCUAACAAGGAAAGAAAACUCUCUGAGGUCAAAAUUUUACAGUUUCAUUUGUGCAUUUAAAAUGGAUUUUCUCCAAGUUUUUUUUUUUUUUGAGUUUCAGACAGAAUAAUCUCAUUCCAGAAUUUAACUUUUAUUUGCAAAUAACAUGAUUAUAAAAAACACCUACAAGAAUAAGUGAAUUUAACAAGGCUGCAGCAUACAAGGCCAAUUGCAUUUCUGUUAGCAACAAUUGGAAAAUGAAAUUUAAAAAUUAAUAUUGUUUACAAUAGCUUCAAAAACAUCAAAUAUGUUGGAAUAAGAUUAAGGAAAAUAAAGUGUAAGACCUCUUCACUGAGGGCUACAGAACAUUGUUGAGAGAAAUUAGAGAUCUGUAUAAACGGAGGGCUCUGCUAGGGUUUGAAAGAUGGUGUUGUUAAGAUGUCUGUUUUCCCUAAAUUGAUUUAUGAAUUCAGUGCCAUCCUAGCCAGAAUUUCAGCAGGUUUUUUUUUUUUUAAAGAAAUAGACAAGUUGAUUGUAAAAAUGUAUGGGGACGUGGAAAGGACCUAGAAAAACCAAAUCGAUUUUGAAAAAGAACAAAGCUGAAGAUUGUACUGCCUGAUUUCAAGACUUCCUAUAAAGCUACAGUAAUCAAGACAGUAUGGUAUUGCUAAAGGAUAGACACAUAGAUUAAUGGGACCGAAUAGACAGUCCCAAAAUAGACUCACACAUAUAUGGCCAAUUGAUUUUUGACGAAGGUGCAAGGCAAUUUAAUGGAGAAAGAGUAGUCUUUUCAACAAAUCAUACUGGAACAAUUGGACAUCCGUAUGCAAAAAAAUGAACCUCAACCCAUACCUUGUGCCGUAUACAAGAAUUAACUCAAAAUGGAUCAUAGACCUAAGUUUAAAUUCUAAAACUUUUAGAAGAAAACAGGGGUGAAAGUUUUUGUAACCUUGGAUUAGGCAAAGAUUUCUUAGAAACAACCCCAAAAGCACAAUUCAUGAAAGAAAAAAUGGGUGUCAUACUUCUUCAAAAUUAAAAACUUCCGUUCUUCAGAAGAGACCAUUAGGACAAUGAAAAAGCAAGUCACGCAUUGGGAGAAGACCUUUGCAAAAUAUACAUCUAAUAAAGGAUUUGUGUCCAGAAUAUAUACAGACCACUUAAAACUCAAUAAUAAGAAAAUAAUCCAAUUUAAAAAUGGGUAAAAGAUUUGAAUAGAUAAUUUAAGAUAUGCACAUGCAACUGAGCACAUGAAGAGGUGUUUAACAUCGUUAGUCAUGAGGGAAAAUGAAAAUCACCACAAUGAUAUAGUACUACAUACCUAUUACCAAAAAAUCAAACCAGACCAAACCAUUGAGUCAAUUUUGACUCAUAGCAACCCUGUAGGACAGAGUAGAACUGCCCCAUAGGGUUUCCAAGGAGUGGCUGGUGGAUUUGAACUGCCAGCCUUUUGGUUAGUAGCCAAGCUCUUCACUACUACGCCACCAGGGCUUCAUACACACUACCAGAAUGCUUAAAAACCUGAUAAUACCAAUGCUGGUGAAGAUGCAGAACAACUGGAAUUCUCAUAACUUGUACAGCCACUUUUUUUUUUGGAAACCCAAAAAGGUGUUUAUCUAUUAUUUUCAUUUUAUUGUGCUUUAGAUAAAGGUUUACAGCUCAAGCUAGUUUCUUAUUUGAAAAUUUAUACACAUUUUGUGACAUUGGCUGCAAUCCCCACAAUGUGACAGCACUCUCCCCCUUGCCACCCUGGGUUCCCUGUGUCCGUUCGUCGAAUUCCUGAUCCUUCCUGCCUUCUCAUCUUGCUUUUGGGCAAGACUUAUCCAUUUGGUUUUGUAUAUUUGAUUGAACUAAGAAGCACGUUCCUCAGUUGUGUUAUUGUUUGUUUUAGACGCCUAUCUAAUCUUUGUCUGAAAAGUGGGCUUCGGGAGUGGUUUCAGUUCUGAGUUAGCAGAGUGUCCGGGGGCAGUAGUCUCAGGGUUCCUACAGUUUCUGUCAGCCCGGUAAGUCUGGCCUUUUUUUGUGAAUUUGAAUUUUGUUCUACAUUUUUCUCCUGCUCUGCUGGGACUUUGUUGUGAUCCCUGUCAGAGCGGUCAGUGUUGGUAGCUGGGCUGGUCUGAGGCUGGUGGAGGCUUUGGUUCGUGUCCAUUAGGCUUUUGGGCUAAUAUUUUCCUUGUGUCUUUGGUUUUCUUCAUUUUCGUUUGCUCUGAAUGGGAUGGGACCAAUAGAUGUGUCUUAGAUGGCCACUCACAAGCUUUUAAGACCCCAGAUGCUACUCGCUAAAGUAGGAUGUAAAACAUUUUCUUUAUGAACUAUGUUAUGCCAGUUGAUCUAGAUGUCCCCUGAGAUGUACAGCCACUUUUGAGAACAGUUUGACAGUUUCUUAUGACACAGCAGUCCCACCUCUACAUAUUUACCUAAGUUAUGUUCACAUAAGAACUUAUAUGUGAAUGUUUAUGGUGGCUUUCUUCAUGAUCUUCAAAAACUGAAAACAACCCAAAUACCUUCAACUGGUGAAUAAUUAAACAACUUCAUUGGAAGACUACUCAGCAAUAAAAAGGCAUAAACUGACAUAAUGUGGAUGAAUCUUAAUAGUAUUAUGCUAGUAAAAAGAAACCAGAUCUAAAAAGCUACAUACUGUCUGAUUCCAUUUAUAUGACAUUCUGGGAAAGGCAAAAUCUGUAUGGAAAGCAGAACCAUCGUUGCUGGGGGCUGGGGAUGGGAUUGACUACAAAAGGGCACAAAGAAACUUUGGGGUGAUGGAAAUUUCUUGUAUCUUGUUUACAUAAGUAUAUACAUUUGUAAAAAUGCAUAGACCUAUACACUAAAAGGGUGAAUUUUAAUGUAUGCAAAUUAUACCUAAAAAGCCUGACUGAAAAAAGAGACACCAUUAAGAAAAUGAAAAGACAAGCCAUGGGCUGGGAAAAAUAUCUGCAACACAUUUAUCUGACAACUUACCCAACAUAUAUAAAAAAAUGCAUGCAAAUCAACAAUAAAAAGAUGAACAACACAAUGAAAACUUGGUUAAAGACUUUGAACAAGUUAUUUCACAAAAGAAGAUUUACAAAUGGUCAAUAAACAUGAAGAGGUGCUCAACAUCUUUAGUCAUCAGGGAAAUACAAAUUAACAUCGCAAUGAGAUGCCAUUUCACAUCUAGUAAAAUGGCUAAAAUAAAAAGGACUACCAACAUCAAAUGUUGAUGAGAUUGUGGAGCAACUAGAACUCCUGUAUAUUGCUGAUGAGUGUGUUAAGUGGUAUGGCCUAUUUGAAGACCUGUUUGGCGAUUUUAAUGAAACGUACUGUAUGAUCCAGUAGUUCUACUCGUCGGUAUUUACCUUUGUUUUUAGGUGUUGUUGAGUUGGUUCCAACUCAUGUUGACCCUGUGUACAACAGAAAUAAACACUGCCCGGUCCUGCACCAUUCUCACAAUCAUUGUUAUGUUUGAACCCAUUGUUGCAGCCUACUGUGUCAGUCCAUCUCGUUGAGGGUCUUGCUGUUUUUCACUGACCCUUUUCUUUACCAAGCAUGUUGUCCUUCUCCAGGGACUGGUCCCUCCUUCUUGUUGUUGUUGUUAGGUGCCAUUGAACUGGUUCCAACCCAUAGUGGCCCUUUAGAACAGAGUAGAACUGCCCCGUAGGGUUUCCAAGGAGUGACUGGUGGGUUUGAACUGCUGACUUUUUGGUUAGCAGCCAUGUACUUAACCACUGUGCCACCAUGGGGAGAUGAAAAUAAAUGUUCACAAGAAGUACAAGAAUAUUUGUAGCCCAAAACUGGAAACAGCCCAAAUAUUCAUCAACUGAAAAUUGAAUAGACAAAUUGUUUAUACAAUGGAGCAAUGAACAAUGAACUAUUGAUACAAUAUGGAUGGAUCUCAAAAACAAAAGAUGAGCCCUUCCAUGUUGGGUUUCCUCACUGUAAAAUGAGGAUAAUAAUACUGACUAUUGUUGUGGGGACUAAAUGAUUAAAACAUGUCCAGUGCUGGAAAAGUGCCUGGCAUAGUCACUGCCAUCGAGUUGAUUCUGACUUAUAGCAGCCCUAUGGGACAGAGUGGAGCUGCCUUGUAGGGUUUCCAAGACUAAAUCUUUACAGAAGUAGACUACCACAUCUUUCUCCCACAGAGCAGCUGGUGGGUUUGAACUGCUGACCUUUUGGUUUGCAGCAGAGCGCUUGACCACUGCGCCACCAGGGGUUCUUGAGUAAAUGUUAUAUGUGCUUAUUUAAUAUAUAAGUAAAACUAAACAUGAAGGUUAACCUCAAAUAGUCUGGGGGGUGGGGGGGAAACAUGCAUUGCCUUAGUCAUCUAGUGCUGCCGUAACAGAAAUAACCACAAGUGGAUGGCUUUAACAAAGAGGAAUUUAUUUUCUCACAGUCUAGUUGGUUAGGGGAAGGCUUUCUUUCUCUGUCAACUUUGGAGGAAGGUUCUUGUCCUCAAUCUUCCUUUGGUUGAAGAGCUUCCAGGUGCAGGGACCCCGUGUCCAGAGGACACGCUCUGCUCCUGGCGCUGCUUUUUUAGUGGUAUGAGGUCCCCAACUCUCUGCUUGCUUCCCCUUCCUUUUUAUCUCUUGAGAGAAAAAGGUGGUAUAGGCCACACCCCAGGGAAACUCCCUUUACACUGGAUCAGGGAGGUGACCUGAGUAAGGGUGGUGUUACAAUCCCACCCUAAUCCUCUUAACUUAAAAUUACAAUCACAAAAUGGAGGACAACCACAUAAUACUGGGAAUCAUGGCCUAACCAAGAUGACACAUAUUUUUGGGGGGACACAAUUCAAUCCGUGACAUACGUACUGUGUGAUUGCAUUUAGAUAAAAUCCAAGGACAGACAAAACCAAUCUAUGGUGAUAGUGAUUCUUGAGGGUGGAAGGGGAAUUGAAAGAGGCACAAACUUUUUGGGGUGAUGAAAAUGUGUGAAACCCUGUUUUGGGUGGUGAUUAUGUGGGUGUAUACAAUUGUUAAAACUUAUUGAACAGAUCAAGAUCUGUAUAUAUUAUUGUGUGCUAAUUAUACCUUAAUAAAAAUAUCUUAAAUACUUCUAUAGACAUUUUAUUAAAUCUGAAAUUAAAAAAAUCUUUUAUUCUGUUUGGUCAUCACUACAUGAAUUUUGACAUAACCUAGAUUUCUGUGUGAUACAUCUUGUUGGCAUUAUCCGGAAUUCUUCUGAGACAAGAGGCUUCUAAUUGAGCUAUUUGACAUGGCUCAAAGUUUCAGAAUAUCAAAAGGACAGGUAAGUAACCUGUGCUUUUUUCUGACUCUGGUUCCUGCAGGACCUGCCUUUACUUACCAGUUAACCAUUUGUAGAAUCUCACGGUUGGAAAGAUCUUGGAGACUUUCCAUGUGCCCUAACUAUAAGGGACAACUUCUUCUAGAAGCUAAUGUGGCUGGAAUUCCAGCCUUAUGGGUUGAGCUGGAUAAGUGGGAAAGAAGGAGCAACCAUGUGGCCACAGGAUUGCAAAGAAGCUCUUCUUCCGGCUCCCUUUGAAUGUCAAGGUUCUUGCUGUGGUCCUUCUCUUCUCUCUACACUCUCUGUAGGAGCGUUGUCCGUGGGCACGGCUUCCACCAUCGCCUGUCUGCUGAUGACCCCCAAAUUAUCUGCAAAUUCAUCUUUCUCUUCUGAGUUCAAACUUUAUUGCUCUCUCUCCUCCACUCACAAAUGUGCUAUCAUUCUCAUCUUAUGUAAAGUUUCUUUCAACCCUUUCCUGCUACUAUUUUAUCUUUCCAUUUCCUCAAAUUCUGUUCUUAACCAUCGAAGUCUGGCAUCUGCUUCCCACCCCAUUCUAGAGAAACUUCUCACUUUAGGAUUCACUGAGAACUCAGAAUUACUAAACCCCUGUAGCCUGUUUUCAGCCCCUCACCCUUCCUGGCUUCUCUGUAGCAUUUGUUACUGUCGACUGCCUACUUCCUGAAAUCUUUCUCUUUCCUUGGCUCUGGGACGCCAUUCUCUCUCCGGCCUCAAUACUCAAUCCCUGCCUUUUUUCCCGGCUGCCCUUUGAGAUUGCCGCUGUCCAGUUUGAUAUCCUUGGUCCUUUUUUCUCUCACUAAAAGAUCCCUGGGCUCUCAUCCUUUCUGAUGGUUUAGAUUUACAUUCAUAGACUGAAGACACCCCCUUCUCUAUCUUUAGACCCUACUUCUCCCUCAGGUUUCAAGUCCUUAUUUCAUAUUGCAUACUGAACACUUCAAACUCAGGGUGUCCAAAACCAAACUCAUCAUUUUCCCCCCAACUUGCUCUUUCUCUGGUUCAGGGUGUCCCUGGAGACCAGUGUCCCAGGCUAAUAAACUGGAGCCUCCUUGAUGCAUUUGGGCACUCCGUGGCAUCAGUGGAUGAUGAAGAUCCACAGGUUCUGCGUGUGAAACUUCUUUGUGAUCUGUCUUCUCCAUCUCCUGCUAUUGCCCUAGCUUGGGCCCUGUGACCCCUCUGAACUCUUCCUGGUUCUCCCAGCCUCAUUCUUCCUUUCUCCAGCCCACUUCCACCUUCAGAUACCCCCCUACUCUGCAGGAUAAAGCUUCACCUCCUUCGAAUGACCAUGAAAUCCUUU